rnacentral:lncRNA from 1 species
UUUGGGAGGAAGAAACGGUUCUGAUUCUGUUGUGAAACGGGAGAAUCGCGGCCAAACAGCUGGAUAGAAGAAGAGACAGCGAGAUGAUGGGGGCAGCGGGACGGCUCGGAGGGGAAUUGGACGGAAGGCGAUGUAUCCGAGUGAGGACCACGGAUCGGAGGUGCUCCCCGCCGCCCAUGGCCCUCCGCUUCCUCGGUGAGGGCGUCGCCGCCCGCCAUUCUCCCCGCCGCCCGUGGCCGUCCACUUCCCCGAUGAGGGCGCCGCCGCCCGAGGUGCUCCAACUUCAAAUAGUCUGAUAUCCAUUGCCGGAUUCAGUAGUAGCUUUUGCUCUAUUUGUCCUGCUAUUGGAUUCCUGAGUUGCACUUCAAAUAGUCCGGUAUCUCACUAUGAAUUGCACUUCUGAGCACUUAAAUUCCUGAAUCCUGUCUCAUUUCCCAUUGUUCUUUUCAGCUCCCGUGUGAUCGACCUGAUCCGCCACAUGCACAGCACCAACUAGAUGAGCGAGCUGAGGCUUGGUGAUACAGGGGAGUUGGUGUUUCUCCCCAGAAGAAGAGUGUAGAGAGCCCUCUACCGAGAAUAAAUUUUUUGUAUGGAAUUAUGUCUGAAACUAUAUUUGGUGUAUCCUAGUGGUUGGUUGAGCUGUAAUGGCUCAUGUUUUUAUCUGAAACUACUGAUCAACUUUCGAUCUUAAAUUCAGUGAGGUAUGUCAUGCCUACUUGCUGAGAAAUGGAAUGCUAAAAUAUGGAAAUAUUGGAUGCAGGGACAAUGCUCAAUUCAAUGAAAUGAUUGACAGACCACCGAGUGUGAACCAGUGCCUGCUCCAUUUGCUGGUCCAAAGCCAGUAAGUGCCAUUCUGAAGAAGGUGAAGAGGAAGCCUUCCAUCCUGAAGACGAUGUGGCAUACGACGAUGAAGCUGCAGAUCAAGAGCUGGAGGAGUAUCAGAAUGUUUGUGGUUCUCCCAGGAGAGCACGCUUGUUGUAUUUGUUGGUUGGAAGAGAAUCCAAUUGUUGUACAUCAUAAUUGUAUUACUACCUGACACAAAUAGCUAACAGAUACAUCAUACUCUACUUGUAUUUGUUGGUUGGAAGAGAACCCAAUUGUUGGUUGGAAGAGAAUCCAAUGUUGGUGGCUAAUAUUUCAAGUUCGUGUGAACACUUUCG